rnacentral:lncRNA from 1 species
UUCUUCACCCUUCACAUCCUGGAAAAAUUCUAGAAUGCAACGGAUAUAUUAGUGACGUGCCGUAACAAAUUAAUCAAAUAUUUUUUUAUAAAAAUAUAUAUUUUAUUAUGAUUGUAAAAAAAAUAUUUUUAUUAUAUUUUUGUUUGACAAAAAGAAAUGUGAUUGGUUUGUUAUUGAUGACGUGGUGUAAGUGUGACAGUGUAGAAUUCCUCCACAUUCUGAGUGAAUUAAUAUGUACCAGAUCAGUAGAAAAAAAAAAGAAGCACCCGAUCGUUUCUAGAGCAAGUGGCAAAGAGUUUGAUGGUUGAUACCCGAGAUCCCAAGUUUGAAUCCUAGUUUCAAAUUUGAAUUCUAGUUAAUUCAUAUUUUUAGCUAAAUUUAUUUCUAAAUGAAAUAAACGAAACGGGUAGCGUGCUACCUAUCUCUCAAAAAAAAAAAAGUCUCCAA